rnacentral:rRNA from 1 species
CUUGCUCCUUGGAUCAGUGGCGAACGGGUGAGUAACACGUGAGCAAUCUGCCCUUGACUCUGGGAUAACUGCGGGAAACUGUAGCUAAUACCGGAUAUUACCUUGGAAGGCAUCUUCUGGGGUGGAAAGAAUUUUGGUCAAGGAUGAGCUCGCGGCCUAUCAGCUAGUUGGUGAGGUAAUGGCUCACCAAGGCGACGACGGGUAGCCGGCCUGAGAGGGUGACCGGCCACACUGGGACUGAGACACGGCCCAGACUCCUACGGGAGGCAGCAGUGGGGAAUAUUGCACAAUGGGCGCAAGCCUGAUGCAGCAACGCCGCGUGAGGGACGACGGCCUUCGGGUUGUAAACCUCUUUUAGUAGGGAAGAAGCGACUGGKUUUUCCUGGRAGUGACGGUACCUGCAGAAAAAGCACCGGCUAACUACGUGCCAGCAGCCGCGGUAAUACGUAGGGUGCAAGCGUUGUCCGGAAUUAUUGGGCGUAAAGAGCUCGUAGGCGGUUUGUCGCGUCUGCUGUGAAAACCCGAGGCUCAACCUCGGGCCUGCAGUGGGUACGGGCAGACUAGAGUGCGGUAGGGGAGAUUGGAAUUCCUGGUGUAGCGGUGGAAUGCGCAGAUAUCAGGAGGAACACCAAUGGCGAAGGCAGAUCUCUGGGCCGUAACUGACGCUGAGGAGCGAAAGCAUGGGGGAGCGAACAGGAUUAGAUACCCUGGUAGUCCAUGCCGUAAACGUUGGGAACUAGAUGUGGGGACCAUUCCACGGUCUCCGUGUCGCAGCUAACGCAUUAAGUUCCCCGCCUGGGGAGUACGGCCGCAAGGCUAAAACUCAAAGGAAUUGACGGGGGCCCGCACAAGCGGCGGAGCAUGCGGAUUAAUUCGAUGCAACGCGAAGAACCUUACCAAGGCUUGACAUAUACCGGAAACGGCCAGAAAUGGUCGCCCCGCAAGGUCGGUAUACAGGUGGUGCAUGGUUGUCGUCAGCUCGUGUCGUGAGAUGUUGGGUUAAGUCCCGCAACGAGCGCAACCCUCGUCCUAUGUUGCCAGCACGUAAUGGUGGGAACUCAUGGGAUACUGCCGGGGUCAACUCGGAGGAAGGUGGGGAUGACGUCAAAUCAUCAUGCCCCUUAUGUCUUGGGCUUCACGCAUGCUACAAUGGCCGGUACAAAGGGCUGCGAUACCGCAAGGUGGAGCGAAUCCCAAAAAGCCGGUCUCAGUUCGGAUUGAGGUCUGCAACUCGACCUCAUGAAGUCGGAGUCGCUAGUAAUCGCAGAUCAGCAACGCUGCGGUGAAUACGUUCCCGGGCCUUGUACACACCGCCCGUCAAGUCAUGAAAGUCGGUAACACCCGAAGCCAGUGGCCGAACCCGUAAGG